rnacentral:rRNA from 1 species
GACAGAGGUCCCGAGCGUUAGGCGGAAUCACUGGGCUUAAAGCGUGUGUAGGCGGAUUUGUAAGUACCUUGUGAAAUCCCACGGCUCAACCGUGGAACUGCUUGGUAUACUGCUUAUCUUGGGCCAUCUAGGGGCGAGCGGAACAAACGGUGGAGCGGUGAAAUGCGUAGAUAUCGUUUGGAACGCCAAUGGUGAAAACAGCUUGCUGGGGAUGUGCCGACGCUGAGACACGAAAGCCAGGGGAGCGAACGGG